UACGUAGGGUGCAAGCGUUGUCCGGAAUUAUUGGGCGUAAAGAGCUCGUAGGCGGUUUGUCGCGUCUGCUGUGAAAACCCGAGGCUCAACCUCGGGCCUGCAGUGGGUACGGGCAGACUAGAGUGCGGUAGGGGAGAUUGGAAUUCCUGGUGUAGCGGUGGAAUGCGCAGAUACCAGGAGGAACACCAAUGGCGAAGGCAGAUCUCUGGGCCGUAACUGACGCUGAGGAGCGAAAGCAUGGGGGAGCGAACAGGG
rnacentral:rRNA from 1 species